rnacentral:rRNA from 1 species
CCUACGGGGAGCAGCAGUGAGGAAUAUUGGUCAAUGGACGAGAGUCUGAACCAGCCAAGUAGCGUGAAGGAUGACUGCCCUAUGGGUUGUAAACUUCUUUUAUAUGGGAAUAAAAUGUUCCACGUGUGGGUUUUUGUAUGUACCAUAUGAAUAAGGAUCGGCUAACUCCGUGCCAGCAGCCGCGGUAAUACGGAGGAUCCGAGCGUUAUCCGGAUUUAUUGGGUUUAAAGGGAGCGUAGGUGGAUUGUUAAGUCAGUUGUGAAAGUUUGCGGCUCAACCGUAAAAGUGCAGUUGAAACUGGCAGUCUUGAGUACAGUAGAGGUGGGCGGAAUUCGUGGUGUAGCGGUGAAAUGCUUAGAUAUCACGAAGAACUCCGAUUGCGAAGGCAGCUCACUGGACUGCAACUGACACUGAGGCUCGAAAGUGUGGGUAUCAAACAGGAUUAGAUACCCCUGUAGUC